rfam:Paraglaciecola sp. S66 Contig11, whole genome shotgun sequence.
UGCGACUCCGACUUACCCGAUUUUAUUAGUGCCUUGUCAAAUGUCCUAACAGGACGUUAGGACAAGGUGAGGUGAGUAUAGGGACGUACUCUCCGCGCCGGUUUGAUCAACAAGGUACUGAUAAAAUUGGAAUAGUAAGUUGGUUG